AGCUCAAAAUCCUGGGUUUUAUUUUGAUAUUAUUUCUGUCAGUGCUAAAUGCCAGUUCAGGAAUCUUUUAUCAAAACAAGACCAGAUUGAGAUGCAAUAGUUAAAACUUCUGAGCGGUUUUAUGACACAAACAGGACCGGGUGUUUUGAAGAACGCUGCUUUCCUCCGUAACUCUGCAAGGGUCUGCAGGGCACCAGAAUGGCCAGCCUCCUGUUCCCAUGGACUUUUAAAUACAGGCUGCAGCAGAAAAUGACCAGUCUGACUCGGCUUCGACCGCCCUGCAUGGCGACAAGCACCCCAGAGACCCGUGAUUGGCGGGCUGGUGACAGAUGAGUGUGAUGAUUGGGAGUGGACUAGUCCUCCAUCACAAUCUGCUGACAGCAUGUUUGGUUGCAUGAUUACGGUCCGCGGAUAUGUUACCACGGCAACAAGGUCAAAGGUAAGUCAUUUGUGAAAGAUCCAGUAGAAAAAAGAUUCACCAAAGUGUAAUCAAGUUGAAAUAGGUUGAAUCGAGGUUUAUGUCACUGACAUGUGGACACGCCUGUGUUUGUGUGUGUUUGAGUGGCAGAGGUUAAAAGGCGCGGAGCGGGCCUCUCUCUGAAAGGAAGCAGCGGUUAGAGAAGAGGAAGAGUCCGCACAUUUUCAUUGGCCACAUGCAUGGAGACUGCUCUCUAGCUACUGUUAACCUGAAGCUCCCACCGCGUUUGGGAGGAGCUUCCAUCAAAAACAUUUCUCAAACUUGCCAUGGAGGACGCGGGCACUGAGUGAUCAGAUUUAUUUAUUUUGAAGAGCUGAAUAAAAGCAUCGGUACGCGUCUCCGUCUCCAGGUUCAGAUCUCUCACAGUCGCUGUUCCUGCAACAGGGAUAUACCGUCAGGGGAAGGCAGUACGGCAAGCCAAAAAGAUCAAGAAUCACCAGGAAAAGUGGGCGUUGCAGUGCCUCAUCUGAACAUGUACUAUGGAUAACAAUAAUUAUUUGAAAUACUUAAAUGUUCCCACAGUUACUGGCAAGAGGAAAAUUAAUAAAGCAUUCUUUUCCCUCAGUUUUUGUAGAUUUGGUCUCCAGACAUGUCACUGUAAUUAGAAACUACAUGUUUUUAUAUUUUUGUUUAUGUUCAAAGUUCAAACAUGUGUGUCUAUAUUUAUGCUUUGAA